rnacentral:rRNA from 1 species
UACGUAGGGGGCAAGCGUUGUCCGGAAUCAUUGGGCGUAAAGCGCGUGUAGGCGGCUCGGUAAGUCUGCUGUGAAAGUCGAGGGCUCAACCCUCGAAUGCCGGUGGAUACUGUCGGGCUAGAGUACGGAAGAGGCGAGUGGAAUUCCUGGUGUAGCGGUGAAAUGCGCAGAUAUCAGGAGGAACACCAAUUGCGAAGGCAGCUCGCUGGGACGUUACUGACGCUGAGACGCGAAAGCGUGGGGAGCAAACAGG